rnacentral:rRNA from 1 species
CUUGGCGGCCAUAGCGCGGUGGUCCCACCUGAUCCCAUGCCGAACUCAGAAGUGAUCACCACGUGGCGCUAUUUAUGGUCGGGAGACCAACUGAUAGAAGAAACGCCGAUA